GAUUCUUUGUAAAUCUAAAGAACCUAAUCUGCCCAAUGGUACGCUAAAUGGCCGCGGUAUUUUGACUGUGCAAAGGUAGCAUAAUAAUUUGUCCUAUAAUUGAGGACUGGUAUGAAUGAUUUCAUGGAGCCUUACUGUCUCUAAGUAAUUUAUUUAAAAUUAUUUUUUAAGUGAAGAAUCUUAAAUUUUAUUAAGUGACAAGAAGACCCUGUCAAGCUUAAAAAUCAUUUUUUAAAUGAAAUAAAAUUUUUUGAUUGGGGCAAUCUGGGACCAAAUAAAGCUUCCCAUGGAUCCAAUAAGGUUGAAAAAAGAUAAGUUACUGCAGGGAUAACAGCAUUAUUUCUUUAGAGAGUUCUUAUCGAAAAAGAAGUUUGUGACCUCGAUGUUGGAUUAAAAUUUUCAUAUUUAGGUGCAGCAGCUUUAUGAUUUUGUCUGUUCGACAAAUUUAAUUUU
rnacentral:rRNA from 1 species